rnacentral:rRNA from 1 species
AGUGAACGCUGGCGGUAGGCCUAACACAUGCAAGUCGAACGGCAGCACAGUAAGAGCUUGCUCUUACGGGUGGCGAGUGGCGGACGGGUGAGGAAUACAUCGGAAUCUACUUUUUCGUGGGGGAUAACGUAGGGAAACUUACGCUAAUACCGCAUACGACCUACGGGUGAAAGCAGGGGAUCUUCGGACCUUGCGCGAUUGCAUGAGCCGAUGUCGGAUUAGCUAGUUGGCGGGGGAAAGGCCCACCAAGGCGACGAUCCGUAGCUGGUCUGAGAGGUUGAUCAGCCACCCUGGAACUGAGACACGGUCCAGCCUCCUACGGGAGGCAGCAGUGGGGAAUAUUGGACAAUGGGCGCAAUCCUGAUCCAGCCAUACCGCGUGGGUGAAGAAGGCCUUCGGGUUGUAAAGCCCUUUUGUUGGGAAAGAAAAGCAGCAGGUUAAUACCCCGCUGUUCUGACGGUACCCAAAGAAUAAGCACCGGCUAACUUCGUG